AUUGAACGCUGGCGGCAUGCCUUACACAUGCAAGUCGAACGGUAACGCGGGGGCAACCCUGGCGACGAGUGGCGAACGGGUGAGUAAUACAUCGGAACGUGUCCUGUUGUGGGGGAUAACCCAUCGAAAGGUGAGCUAAUACCGCAUGAUCUGGAGACAGCAAAGCAGGGGACCGGUAACGGCCUUGCGCGAUUGGAGCGGCCGAUGUCCGAUUAGCUAGUUGGUGGGGAAAGGCCCACCAAGGCAACGAUCGGUAGCUGGUCUGAGAGGAUGAUCAGCCACACUGGGACUGAGACACGGCCCAGA
rnacentral:rRNA from 1 species